CUUGAAGAAGAGAAGAAGAGAUCCGAAGAGCUCUUAUCUCAGGUCCAGUUUCUUUACACAUCUCUGCUAAAGCAGCAAGAAGAACAAACAAGGGUAGCUCUGUUGGAACAACAGAUGCAGGCAUGUACUUUAGACUUUGAAAAUGAAAAACUCGACCGUCAACAUGUGCAGCAUCAAUUGCAUGUAAUUCUUAAGGAGCUCCGAAAAGCAAGAAAUCAAAUAACACAGUUGGAAUCCUUGGUGAGUCUGGAAUGAUUAAACUAAAAUUUGUCUUCGUCUUCCAUUUAUAUACCAAAUCAGUUCUGAACUUAGGAGGAUACAGCUUAACGCACAGCUAGCUGUAUCUCAAAUCAGUAGGUAGAGCCUCUGCCUCAUUUGAAGCAACUGCCCUUUGAGCAUCAAUUCAGAGGACAUGAAAGAGGGACAUGAUCACAUCUGGAAACAUUCCCCCAACUACCCCAGCUGCUGUGAUGCUGGAGGCACUAAAUAGUGCCUGAGCUGGGGUCAAAAGGGUAGAAUAGAGGGUAGUCACAGAAUCCUGAACUGAAAUUGUGUUUAUCUAUUAAAAAAGAAAGAAAGGCUGGGCAUGAUGGCUCAUACCUUUAAAUCCCAGCGCUUUGGGAGGCCAAGGCAGGCGGAUCAUGAGGUCAGGAGUUGGAGACCAGCCUGACCAACAUGGUGAAACCCUGUCUCUACUAAAAAUACAAAAAA
rnacentral:sRNA from 1 species